rnacentral:tRNA from 1 species
GCCACCGUGGCACAACCUGGUACUGCGGUAGAUUGCUAAUCUACUGCCCGCAAGGGCUUCCCUGUUCAAAUCAGGGCGGUGGCG